rnacentral:rRNA from 1 species
UAACGCGUGAGGAACCUGCCUCUCAGAGGGGGACAACAGUUGGAAACGACUGCUAAUACCGCAUAAUAUAUCUGUAUCGCAUGGUAUGGAUAUCAAAGAUUUAUCGCUGAGAGAUGGCCUCGCGUCUGAUUAGCUAGUUGGUAGGGUAACGGCCUACCAAGGCGACGAUGCGUAGGGGUUCUGAGAGGAAGGCCCCCCACACUGGAACUGAGACACGGUCCAGACUCCUACGGAAGGCAGCAG